rnacentral:SRP_RNA from 1 species
GACGGGUGUGGUGGCGCACGCCUGUAGUCCCAGCUACUCGGGAGGCUGAGGCAGGAGAAUCACUUGAACCCAGGAGGUGGAGGUUGCAGUGAGCCAAGAUUGUGCCACUGCACUCCAUCCUGGGUGACAGAGUGAGACUCUGCCUCAA